rnacentral:rRNA from 1 species
CCUACGGGAGGCAGCAGUGGGGAAUAUUGCACAAUGGGGGGAACCCUGAUGCAGCGACGCCGCGUGGGUGAAGGAGUAUUUCGGUAUGUAAAGCCCUAUCAGCAGGGAAGAACAAUGAAGGUACCUGACUAAGAAGCACCCGCUAAAUUCGUGCCAGCAGCCGCGGUAAAACGUAGGGAGCAAGCGUUAUCCGGAUUUAAUGGGUGUAAAGGGCGGGUAGGCGGGCAUGCAAGCCAGAAGUGAAAUCUGGGGGCUUAACCCCCAAACUGCUUUUGGAACUGCGUGUCUUGAGUGAUGGAGAGGCAGGCGGAAUUCCCAGUGUAGCGGUGAAAUGCGUAGAUAUUGGGAGGAACACCAGUGGCGAAGGCGGCCUGCUGGACAUUAACUGACGCUGAGGCGCGAAAGCGUGGGGAGCAAACAGGAUUAGAUACCCCUGUAGUC